AACGAACGCUGGCGGCAGGCCUAACACAUGCAAGUCGAACGAGAUCUUCGGAUCUAGUGGCGGACGGGUGAGUAACACGUAAGAAUUUGCCUUUAGGAGGGGGACAACAACUGGAAACGGUUGCUAAUACCCCAUAUGCUUUCGAGUGAAAUGGAUUUUCCGCCUAGAGAGAAGCUUGCGGCUGAUUAGCUUGUUGGUGAGGUAAUGGCUCACCAAGGCGACGAUCAGUAUCUGGUUUGAGAGGACGAUCAGACACACUGGAACUGAGACACGGUCCAGACUCCUACGGGAGGCAGCAGUGGGAAUUUUCCGCAAUGGGCGAAAGCCUGACGGAGCAAUCUCGCGUGAGGGAUGACGGCCUAUGGGUUGUAAACCUCUUUUUCAGGGAGGAAUAAUGACGUGUACCUGAAGAUAAGCAUCGGCUAACUCCGUGCCA
rnacentral:rRNA from 1 species